AGGCCACUUGGCUAACUCUAGUCAAGCAAGAGAAAAGGCUUAAAAAGCAUACAAAAAAUAGUGAGGUUCAUUCUACUCUAUCCAAUAUCUCUCUUCACCCAAAACAAAACAAAAAACAUUCGCAUCCCUCUCUUCUAACCGGUCAUUCUCCCCGACCACCUAUGCCGGAGGGACGCGACAACCAAUUGCGGCGCCACCGUCACUUCCGGCAGCCUACCAUCGUGAAUCAACCAAACUCCAACGUAAACCCCCUUUUCUUUUUCAUGCUCUACCCAAAACUCUUGCCAAUUUCACCACCCAUCAACAACAAUAACCAAUCGGCCUCCCCUAGUCGCGAAAAUGAAAGUGAAACCAACAACAUCAAAACAAAAAAAAGACAAAAAAACUAAGCCCCAAAAUCCCUGAUCCAUUAUGAUACGUACUACAAGGGACAAAAAAUGGAAAUGGAACAAAUUUGAAUCACACAAUAACAAUAUGCUAUGGAAAUAAAAAAUAAACACGAGGUACUUGUU
rnacentral:lncRNA from 1 species